AACUCCUGCGUGAUUGGUCCAGGUGGACCUGGCGCGUUCGCGCGUACCCCCCCCCCUCCGUGCGCGCUCACGCGCAGCUUGUGACCGCUGGCGCAAUCACAAGGCUGGAACUAGCGGCUCAGAUUUGCUGCAUCUGAAACCUUAAACUUCCUGCUUUUUACCGUGACGUCCUGAAGACUCAUGCUUUACUGACAAUAUAUCUACAGACGAAACACGUCACAGAGACUGUGAUCAACAACCUGGGGAUUAACCUGAUCCUGUCAAAUGUAUACCUGUGGGUGUGGUAGCUUUGUGAAGUUUAACACAUAAAAAGGAAUCUGAAAGCACCUGGAUGUGAGAGAACCUUCCGAGGCCCUCCGUCGAUUACAGCAAUUUGAAUCCAUAUGUCAACAGAACAAAACGAGCAGCACAAUAAACCACUGGCAGCUUUCAGAUAAGGAGCAAGCUAAAAAAAAAAAAAAAAAAGGAU